rnacentral:rRNA from 1 species
AGAAUUGAUCUGGUCAGGAUGAACGCUAGCGGCAGGCUUAACACAUGCAAGUCGAGGGGCAGCGGGUGUAGCAAUACAUGCCGGCGACCGGCGAAAGGGUGAGUAACGCGUGAGCAACGUGCCCGUAUGUGGGGGAUAGUCGAUGGAAACGUCGCGUAAUACCCCGUAACACAUGGUCUCGCAUGGGACUGUGUUGAAAGAUUUAUUGUAUACGGAUCGGCUCGCGUGCCAUUAGGUAGACGGCGGGGUAACGGCCCACCGUGCCGACGAUGGCUAGGGGUUCUGAGAGGAAGGUCCCCCACAUUGGAACUGAGACACGGUCCAGACUCCUACGGGAGGCAGCAGUGAGGAAUAUUGGACAAUGGCCGGAAGGCUGAUCCAGCCAUGCCGCGUGCGGGACGAACCGGCCCUAUGGGUUGUAAACCGCUUUUGCGAGGGAGCAAUAAGAGCCACGUGUGACUCGAUGAGAGUACCUCGCGAAUAAGCAUCGGCUAACUCCGUGCCAGCCGCAGC